GAAAGAGAGAAAUUUGAAAGAAGUUGCGUAUAGAGAGUGAGGAAUAAAAAUCUCUUCCAUAGAAAGAGAAUUUGGCAUGUUAGCCUUUGCCAAAUCAACUGCAACUGCUAUUUUCCACCCAAAAGGUCGCCUUAACACGAUUUUAUAGUCCAAGGUUGCAGCCGUUGGAUAAAACAAAUCCAACCAUCUCAAACAAAUGACAGUUGAGAGCGGGGCCUUUAUAUUUCUGGACCAGACGAACAAAGCCAUUUGGAAACCAAAUUUAAUGAGCUUACAAAGAGAAAGCGAGAAGAAGAGAGAAGAGGCAGGCACAAGAAUAGAAAGAAAAAGAGAGAGAAAGAAGAGAGAAGAGGCAGAAGUAUAGAGAGAAUAAAGGUCUUGGAGCUAGUGUUUUUGGGCAAAAUUUGGAAGAGGAGAUGGCAACAACCAGGAAUGUAGUGCCCCUAAUCAGAGGCAAUAGAUCGUUUUAGGGUUUAUUUAUUUUAUGAAGUUUUGGAGCUUCUGGCCAAUGCACAGGUGGUUGUUGUAACCAAUAAGGUAAAUGAACAGAUCCUCUCCCCCCCUCCCCCUCCUUUUUUAUUAUUUUCUUCUCAAUUCUUACCAUUCGAAUCAUUAUCUCCCUUGUGAAUGAUUUUUCUGUCCAUAUAAAAUUCCCAACCUGUGAUAUAAUCAGGCAUUAAAGAAGGAGAUUAUUUCUUCUGGCUACUUCUAAUAUGAUAAGCUUAGGCGAAAUUCCAUAUUAUUACAUGGUAUAGAAUUAGGCAUAAGAAUUGGGUAUCCUAAAUAGCCAAUUGUGAUAGUCCAUCUAAAUUUUUCAUCUUAUUUGUACUUGUUUUUUAUCAUUGAUGAACUUCUUCUUCAUCGAGUUUGCUUGCAAACAAAAAGCGCAAAAGCAACUUAUCAUUGAAGCGGCUCUCUUUAGGUUAUUUGAUAUGUGAGAUCUUGAUCUUGAUCUCUUUAGGUCA